GGACAUGUCGCCUUCCCAGUGCCUGAUGGAGGCUUAUGGCUACCCGGGGGUGGAGGGCAAUCUUUUCCUCCUGGAGUAGGAGGGUUUGUCCCCGGAGGAAGAAGAGGACCCACAAUCGGCAAUGGUGGCAGUGGCAAUGUGGGUAGCCCUCCCACCGGAGGUAUGGGUAGCCCUCCCACCGGAGGUAUGGGUAGCCCUCCCACCGGAGGUAUGGGUAGCCCUCCUACCGGAGGAAGUGGUAGUUCUGGGACGGUCACUGGAGGUACAGGUAGCUUUGGGACUGUCACCGGAGGAACUGGAAGCUUAGGUACGGUCACUGGAGGAACAGGUAGCUUCGGAACUGUCACCGGAGGAACUGGAAGCUUAGGGACAGUCACUGGAGGAACGGGUAGCUUGGGAACAGUCACUGGAGGAACGGGUAGCUUGGGAACAGUUACAGGGGGUUUAAUGGAGGGUUUUCCACCCUUCCUGUGGUUGCAGGAGCCACAUGAGAAGGAUUGUUGGGGAAAGAAGAUAAUGCAAAUGAGAAUGAAACAGAGAGAAAGAGAUGAUAGUUUGGAUGACUCCAUGUUGAGAAGAGUGGAUGGAGGAAAUAUAAGAAAGGUUAUAUGAAUAUAUAGGGCAAGAAUGAAAAGAAGGGAUCACGUGAACAUGGGGGCUACUUCUGCAAUAAGAAGAGAAGCCCCAAAAUAAGCAUGGUUGGCACUUAUCAUAAGAAUACAAAUUCUAUUCAUGACCCAUCGCUAUAUAUCAUCACAUGUCGCCUCUCUUUUUUCACGGCUAAUUUAUAUUGGGUUUACUAUACGUAUGUACAGUAUAUAUAUAACCAUGGUUUCUGCUAAAAGUUUAAUGUAUACUAGAGUUUGAUCCGCGUGCACGUGUAGGUGUUAUUAAUUUGUAAUGUAUAAUAUUUAUAAUUGCUUUUGAAAAUCCAAUCGGUUAGAAAGUAAUCGCCAACUAGAUGAUAAUUUGCGUCUUGUGCUAGGUGAAUUUUUUAAAAAUAUAUUGUAUUUAAAUAUUUUAAUCAAUAUACAUUUGGUUAUCAAUAACCGUUUUUACCUUUGAUUAGAGGAGGGCAUUCAAGUACCAUUUGGUUCGGUUCGGUUUGGAUCUUUACGGGUUUGGUUCGGUUCGGAUCUUUGCAGAUCUCGUUCGGGCUUGGGUUUGGAUCUAAAAAUAAAUAAUAAUAUAUAACAUAUAAAUUUGAAUAAUUAAUGCCAAAAUACUUAAACAUAACAUAAAAAUUGGUUUAGUUUAAAUAUUUGGAUAAAAAAUCAAUAGAUAUUUUAGGUAUUUUAAGUAUCAUUUAGCUAUUUUAAACAUGUACUUAUAACUAUUUGUAUAUAUUUUCAAGUAUUAUGGACAACUUAAAAACAUGUUAUAUAUUUUGUAUAUUCUUUUAGACAUUAAAUUUAAAUUUUUUUAAUAUAUUUAAGUAUAUAAAUCUGGUUCGAAUAUAUUCGGAUACCUGAAAUAUUUUAGUUCGGAUCGGGUUCGGUUCCGGUUCUCUAGAUACCAAAGUUUUGAACCCAUUCGGAUAUCUAAUCAAUUUUGGUUAAAGUUUAAUACUAUUUUUAAUCGGUUUUGGUUCGGUUUUUUUAGAUUCAGAUUUUUUGCCCAACCUUAUAUAUUUUUAUUGGGACAAAAUUUUAAACGAAAAUGAUGAUGGUUCAUAUUGAUUUUGGGUAUGCAAUGAUUUUUAAACCAAAACACUUUUUAAUAUGUACUAGCCUAUUUAGUUAAUCACUAAAAUUGUUUUAGUCUCAUUUAAGGAAAACAAUGGGAUGAACUUAAGAAAAUUAACAUUUCAUAUUGUCAAUCGACACUUCCAAAUAUUCUAUGCUAGUGUUUUGACGAAUAGAAAGGGGAUUAGGGUUAAAAAAAACAAAUUUGUUGUGCAAUCCAUGUUCUCGCUAGGUGAUUUCAAUAGCUUCUAAAUAAAUCUCAAUUGUAUCAGUCUCUUGUAAGAUUUUCUAACAAUAUUAAUUAAUAAAAUCUUACACAUGCUGAACUGUUUCUCAAUUAAUAUAUAAGAGAUUAGAGUAAUCACAUAAAUCAACAUAAUACCUCUUGUUUAUUUACAAUAUAUUUAUGGUAAAUAAUUAAGAUAAUUAUUUUAUUUAUUUUAUAUGGUAUAUAAUUAUAUUUCAAUGAUCUUAACAUAAAUAUAUAGUUUAAUAUAAAUAUUUAUUAUUGAAAAUUCAUACUCAUAUAGUUUUAUUAAUAUUUGUAUAUUGAUGUAACUAAAAAUUUAAACAAUUAAACCCAAAAUUUUCAAUGUGAUAUUUUUUCGAUGCAAAUUUCAAAAUUAAAAUAUUAAGGUUUGAAUACUCUUGCAAUGCAAAUUUCAAAAUUAACAUAUUUAUGUAUUUUAAAUGGUACAUAGUUUAAUUUAAACAAUAUCAUAUAUAUAUAUAUAUAUAUAUAUUAUUUCAUAUGAAUAUUUACUAAAUAAAAAUUCAUAUUAAUACGAUUUUAUGAUCAUUGUAUCUUGUUAUAACAAAAAAAUUAACUCAUUGAUCACAAAAUUUUCAAAUGGAAUUUUAACAUUUUUUGUGAUUUAAAGUCAUUUUUAAAAAAAACUUUAUUAUUCAUAAUCAUUAAUUGUCAUAAAUAUGUUAAUCAUAUUAGGAAACACAUUAGCUUUUAUUUAAAGAAAAAAUACAUGUUUCUUAUAUUUUAGGUUUAUAUAAUGCUUUUUAGUAAUUUGAUUUUGGACCUACAAAUUAUUUAGUUGAUUAUUAUUUUGCCAUGUACGCCAAAUUGACAACUUAAUUAAAUGACAUAUCAACAAGUUUCUUUGGUAAUUAGUACAAAAUAUAUGUUACAACUUUUUAAAUGAUUAUCAAUAAUAUAUAGGAGAUUUACUUAACAGCCAAAAAUAAAUCUAAAAGGCGCGACUGUUCAGUUGUUACCUCAGGCGUAUGGCGGUGACGGGGUGGUGGAUCUGGCUCAUAGUCGAGGGGGGUGUGACAUUACAAAUUUAGAUCUCCUUGACGACUCAAUUUUUUUUGUAGAGAUUUGACGCUAAAGAUUUAUUCUAAAUAAGAAAAUGAAGCAUAUUUGUUUAAAUAGGAAAAAUCACUUAGGGUUUUCUAUAAUCCUAAUCGGUUUUGCUGAGCCGUAUUAACUAGGUCUGAAACUGGGUUGUUACAGUUCUUAAAUAUCCAAUAGAAUAUUUCCUAUAACUCUAUUAAAUUCUUGGGAAGUCUUUUUGAUGAGUCUUUUCCUUUCUCCAAAAUAAAUCUUCUGUUGAUGAUUUUUAACUUUGAAGUAAUCUAUGACUCCAGUUUGGAUGUCAGCUACUCAGCUGAAUAUCGACCAUUUAAUUCCACAAACUUGAUGUAGAAGAUCUUACUGUACUUCAAAAUGGUUUAAGGUGUUUGUCAGAUCUUUGCACCUUUAAAGUGGAGUAUGUUAACACUCCAUUCGUGAAUUAGGUUAGGGUAAAAAAACAGAACGACGCAAACUCAAAACAAGCAUAAAACUAUAAAAAGUGAUAACUGUUAAAUUUGGCGUCUGACAAUAUCGAUAAACUCCGAGCUUGUCAACGAAUAAGAAUCUGUUUUGCAGUGUCAUGCCUAACUCAUAGAACCUUAAAACGUGUAAAGAACAAUUAUCAAAUAGGCUCAAUAUAAGUUUUUUUCUGCACCAAACUCUUAUAUUAAAUUAAACAUCCGGUGGGCGAAUACGGUUACAACCCGAGAUGAAACUUAACGGCCAGACGAAAUCAAAAACUACUAGAACAAAACAUAUAAGCGUUAAAGGAGCAAAAAUACCCACAGACAUAUUUCAUUUGAGACUCUAAAACUGAUGUUCCUAAGAGACUAAUAUUGAGAUAUGGACUGACAAAAAAAACCUAAAGAAUGGGUUUUGAUGACGGUUGGUGAACACCAACACUGGUGAUACAUUGGCUUAAGACAAGUUAAAAUAUCGUUUUAACAUAUAAUUAAUAUAAAAAAGUUGCAGAAAUCAUAAUUUUUAGGAAGUAGGAAUAAUGAAAUGCCAAUACCAAAAAUCAUAAGCUCAGUUUCUUACUUCUUUCCAUAUUAAAAUACGAAACCAAGAACAAACAAAAUAUACUUCGCCCAAAAUAUAAUAGAGGUAAGGACGACAGAUGAAAUACAGCAAGACAGACACGUGAAAUUUGGGAUGCGUUUUUGUUUUUUGGUGCUUUGUUGUGUAGUUUCGUAAAAGAAAAUUAUAUGUGUGGCUGGACCAUUUAAUAUUUUUUUUUUUUGGUAUGAAUGUUAAAUUUUAUACCAUUUUAAUUUUUGACAGAUUUUACAAUAAAAACAAGUAGCAGAAAAAAAAUAAAAGCAACUAAACAACGACAAAAGCAAAAGCAAAACACAACAAAAUGCACGAAUGCAAAAACUGAUACCAAUCUCGAAUAACACAACAACGCACUUUGCAUAGGAUCGCAGUGAGCCAAGAGUAGGAGUCUCAUUGUUGUGGCUGCUAAGUUGCCGCGAGUCUACAGAGGAUUGGCCAGCCCUCAAAGCCCCUCCGGACCUACAGCUUCAUCACAUACACGCCUUUGAUAACCUGCAUAAUUAGCCCACACAACUUCCAAGUCUCACGAUGGCUCUACCGGAUACAUUCGGAGUGAACGGUUCUUAAUAACUUCCUUACCUUUUUAUCGUUUAUUUUACAAAGGAGUCCGACGACGAACUGAGAAUUUGAUAUACAAGGACCAGUUCAUAUAAUUUAUGUAUCAAUCUAUAUCACAGUACACCGUAAGGUCAAUAAUCUGGAUAACAGUGAGGCUUUAUUAAAUCAGGUUAGUAAUCAUUUUUGUUGAAAAACACUUAUUUUGUCAAUUACUUACACAAAAAAAUUAAGGUGAAGAAGGGAAAUGUCCAUAUUGGAAGAAGAGUUAAACAUAUAACUAUAUACAAAGUGUGUGACAAUUUGUCAACAAAAUGACACAAUUAAUUUUACACGCCCGUGAUCGUGUUUUUAAUACAGCAUCAAAUCAUAAAUUUGGAGUAUAGUAUAGAAUUUACAUUCUUUAACAGUAUAGUACGGAUUUUUAAUUGCAUGCAAUUUACUGUAAAUUUAUAAUUUUAUUCUAUUUUUUCUAAAAUAAUAAAACUUUUUAUCUUUAAAAUCAAAAGUAAAUGAAGAAAUAGGAUUUGCAUAAAAAGUUGUCAACGGAAUUGAUGGAAGAAGUGGAAAACUAUCAUAUAAAAUGAAGGGGAAGAAGAAAUAGUGGGAAAGGUGAAAAACAAUAAAUAGGAAAAUAAAACUAUGGGUGGUAAUUGCUACAAUGUUACUAUUAGAGGUAACAGAAGAGAAGGAAGAAGAGGAAGAUAAUGAAGAAGGCUAAGAAGAGAACGAAAAGAUUAGGACGAGGACAAUGAGGAGGAAGAUAUAUUUUUAUGUUUUUUUUUGUUUUUGCUCAAUAUCAACUUUGAUUAGACCAUAAAAGGUUUCAUACACUUGGUUUAUCAGUCUCCACUAUAGACUUUAGCCACAGUGGCUCUAUUUUUAUGUAUUAUAUACACUGAUGAUGACAUAGAAUAAUAUUUUUACAAAAGUUUGUUUUUAUCUAUUUUUCAUUGAAGAUGUACUGUUUACGACGGAAGGAAUUUUUUUAGAUUAAGAAAUUUCAUGUCUAAAAUUUUACAGAAAAUACAGAUAAAAUAACAUUAACACAUGCUUAUUUACUUUAAAUAUAUACUCUAUUCUAUAUUUCUCAAAUGGAAUAUAAUACAUUUUUUUCACUUUGAGCCGUUCGGACAAAAUACUUAUUUCUCAAAAUCUAUAUUUUUAUCUUUUUCUAGUUUACAUAUUUUUUCGCUUUCAGAAAUUGAUUCCUCUGAUUAAAAUUUAAGUUGCAGGAUAGAAUAUUCUGGUUGCACUUCUACAAAAAAUAAAUAUAAAUGAAACUUUUUUAAAUUAAAAGAGAUAUAAUAAAAAAAUACGUGUGAAAAAGAGAAAAAAAAACUGUUUUUCAGCAGUACAUAUUAUAUGUACAAUAUUCUGUCCAUCCAUUUGCCAUAGUUAUAUACUAAUUUAUAAUAAAAAAUUGGUCAUUGCUUCUAAUUUCUCUAGAAUUUACCGGGCUUAAAUCCAAAUCACAAAUACAAUAACCACACUAGCGUAUAUCAAUAAACUAUACGAAUUCACUGUUCGAGAUGGUGCUAGGCGUAACACACACACGCUUAACCCAUGCCUAGUUCUAAAAUAACUAAUAGGAAAUUAGGCGGAGAUUAGUCAGAGAUUUUUUUUGAUAUAUUAAUCUAUAUAGGCGUAUAUAUGAAAUAUGGGACACAUAUAUCACAAAGGCAAAUGGUUUAAUUGUUACAGUCUUGUCACAAUUGUCUCAGAUAAUGGGUUCGAUGUUAAAGUAAUGUGCUUUUAAACUUACUUUUUAGAUUUUCAUUAAUUGAGAAGAACUGACAAUUUUUACCUUUGUCUUUAACCUUUUUAUCUGCGAUUUGCAGAACCAAUAUAUCACGUUUACACUUUUAAUUUUCACGAUUUCACAGCAUUUAUAUGUGAUUUUUAUGGAUUUUAUCCAAAUAUAGUAGUUCUGUAACAUAAACUAUGAUUUAGCACUGAAAAUUUGACUAUGCAAAGUUUUUAAAAUUCAGUGAGUUGACUCAUCAAUUAUGACCUCCUCGUCACAGUAACCCACCUAACCGGACGAGAACUCGGCCACAUAGCGCAACUUGUUUUAAGUUUAUUUGAUAUCGGUUUUUAUACUCCUUCCGUUUUUUUACGAUGUUUUAGAAAAUAUUUUUAUUUCAAUUUAUAUAAUGUUUUAAAAAUUUUUAUGUAAAAAUUAUUAAAUCAAUUGAUCAAAAUAUUAAAAUAAAAAUAGUUAAUCAUUACUAUUCUGAACAAAUAAAACAAAAAUAUUUUUUUCUUAAUUUAUUUAUUUAUACUCAAACAUCAUAUAAAAAAACCGAAAGGAGUAACAUCUUUUAAGUACUAAAUAAUAGUAUGCUGUUUCAUAAAGGUGCAUGUUUAAAAAAAAAUAUUUUUGUAUUUUUAAUGUCUUUUUAUUAACUAAUAGUAAUUAGUUAUAAAAUUAAAAAAAAUAUUAACUGUAUUUUUUAAAUUAAUAAUCACAAAAUUAUGCAUUUAUAAUUAAAAUUUAACAUUAUAUUGUUAUUAAUAUAUGUAAAAAAUUUAAAGUAUGCGUAAUUUAGAAAGAGAGAGAGUAGCACAGUAGGAUAGUUAAUAUGAACAACUAAAUAGAGGAAUUUAACUUUUUUAAAAAUUACCUCCCACCGGCAUUGUUCCUAAUACUUUUAGUCAGUUACUAAGAGCCAGCUAUCAAUGUAUUCCAAAUGACAGAUGGAUAACUAAUUAAUUGGUCUUCUUUUGUCAGCUGCGAUAUAGCUGAGUUGCUAUGGCUUAAGUUUAAUGGCUUAGAUUCUUCCUCCACAACACUGGCCCUCACUGAUCUCCUACAGAUGGAUAACUUCAGAUUCUUUAUGGAAAUAUGUUAUGAUCCACUGCUUUUCCUUCUUGUAGAUAGAUAGAUCGCUUUUUAUGAGGUUGUGAUUUGGGGAUAUUUGUAAGCUCAAGAACUUGGAGCUUGACAGGUUGCUGCUGUGCUGGAGUUUUGGUUCGUGUACAUGUGUUACACAUGGAGAGUAAUGUGUGACACAUGUUUCGGAGAAUAAAAAGGAAACGUCAAGAUGCGAUGAUGUGUGAUAUUUCCAUAUGCUUGGUUGACGAAAUAAGCAUUAAAGGAAUGUUAUUAGAUCACAAAUUGGAAUAUUUGGUGAUGCUAAAAUAUAGGAAAUAUUAUAUUAGAUAAUAGGAAAAUAUUAUUUAAUAUAUAUGGUGGCUUUACCUAAGAUUAGGGUUAGAGCUUUCACGUUGUAAUUCUCAGAGAGAAACACAAAGGGUUUUGGGGUUUCAUAGCUGAGUGAAUUGGUAGACUUGAUCAACAGGUGUUGAGUCAAGUAAGUUGGGUUUGUUAGAAAUCGAUCCGUGUCGAGUUGUGUAAUUCGGAUCAAACAAGUCUGUAAGAGAUUGUGUAAAGGAUUUCUAAUAAAAGAUACACGAGUUUUUGGAAUCACUUUGUGCCUUGUGUUUUCGCUGUAUCUCGAUUUUACAAUUGGUAUCAGAGCAGGACAUCUAAACAAAGAAGAGUUCUUCGAACCAAGGUGAGAUCCUAAGAAGAGAAUAUGGCGAUUUUGGCAAAUAAUAUGUUGUUGCUGAAUGAUGUGAAUUAUGGGUACUGGAAAGUGAGAAUGAGAGCAAACUUACGUGGAGCUGAUGAAGAUAUCUGGACAGUUGUUCAAUCUGGAUGGGAAGAACCGUGUGUGAUGCAAGAAGAUGGCUUGAAGACACUAAAACCGAAGACAAAGUGGACUGCAACAGAGAAAAAACUUUCAAGGUUUAAUGCGAAAGCACUGGAUACAAUCUUCAGUUCUGUAGAUGGAAAGCAAUUUGAGCUUAUACAGGGAUGUGAAUCAGCUAAGGAGGCUUGGGAUAUACUACAAAAUGCUUUUGAGGGUACUACGAAAGUUAGGAGGAUAAGAUUGGAUUUGCUGGCAUCACAGUUUGAAGACAUAAGGAUGACUGAUGAUGAGAAGAUAGGAGAUUUCAGUGCAAAGCUUAGCUCCAUAGCCAAUGAAUCACAAGUUUUAGGUAAAAAAUACGAAGAUGCAAAAUUGGUGAAGAAGUUUUUGCGAUGUUUGCCUACUAAAUUUGCAGCACAUAAAGCAGCAAUAAACUUGACGAUGAACACUGAUGAACUCAAGUUUGCUGAGGUAGUAGGGAUAUUAAAGGCUGAGGAGAUGGAACUGGAAUCUAAGUUUUCAAAGCCUGCUCAAGACUCUACAGUUACAGUUGAUGAAGACAUCCAAAGAGCUCAAAAACUUGAAGAAUCUAUUCAUCUGAUGAUUCAGAAACUUGAAGAAACCAUGAAUCUCUUGUAUAAGAUGUCCAACGACAGACUGCCUAGAGAAGAAGAAAAAAAUAAAAUGCAGGGAGCGGUGUGUUUUAACUGUCAUGGUAUUGGACAUGUCAAAACAGAUUGUCCAUCAUUCAAGAGAAAAGAAAUCAAGUGCAAUGGAUGUAAUGGUUAUGGACACAUAAAAUCAGAUUGUGUGAACACAAAGAAGAUGAAGAAGAGGAGAAUUUGGAAUGACAAAAAGCCAGAAAGAAAAGAAGAUGCUCUAAAUUUUGUGGCUCUUCAUGGAGCUAUGGGGCCUGGAAAAGACAUCACUAAAGGUGAAUUUCGUGCAUCGUGUGUGUCACACACCAACUCCGAUGUGUCACAUAGCGAUGCAGAAAGUGAUAUAGAUGUGGAUCUUCUAGCUGAGUAUCAGGUUCUGUUUGGUCAAUUUGCUAAACUCAGUGAAGAAAAUAUUCAGCUGAUCAAAGAUACAACAAUGCUGAAAGCAAAAGUGAACAUUCUAGAGUUGGAAACCAACAAUAAAUCUGAGACUGGAGUGUCAAAAGAAGAGAAGGAGUCUGAUCCACAUAGUUCACAAAAGAAAAUCUCUGAGCAGGCCUACAAUCUAAAGAGUAUGGAGACUAAAUAUGAUCAGACGAAACAGCUAUUGAAUGAGGAACGCGAGAAAAGUCAGCUGCUGCAAAGAGAACUCAGUGAAAAUUACAAAAAGUUAAGGAUGCUGAACAGAGGAUCUGCAACUUUAGAUCAUAUAUUAUCAGUUGGACAACCUCCAAAGGUGAAUUGGGGCUUAGGAUACAAGGGUGCUGCUCCAAAAGAUCAAGCUAUUCCAGUCGAUGAUAUCAAGUUUGUAAAAGGUACUCCAUCUAACCCUGAAAGUAGCUCGAAAGCUGAGAAAAGACAUACAUCUACACCUGUGAAAAAAAGAACCUAAUGAUCAGACAAAACUACACUCUCCAAAGCCUGCAAUAACUAGGACGAAUGGUUGUUUGUUUUGUGGGAAUCAUGGUCAUAAGGUUGAUUUCUGUUAUUCUCGAAGACACCAGAUUGAGCGAGCUUGGAGGAUGAACCUUUGUUAUGUGGAACCUAGAAGGUGUGGAUAUGUAUGGAUAGCCAAGAAGGAUCUGUAUCCCAAGUUUACGAAAGGUGUGUCACACGAGCAUACCAAUGUGUCAUACACUCGAAUGGUUGAUCAAUAUACUGAACUUGAAGAACCAGUUCGAUGGCGUAGAAGGAGUUGAGGGUUUUGAUGGUCCAACAAGUAUCAUGAAGUUUUUCACAGAAUUUUCCACUCAAACAGGGAGAGAUGGUACUUGAUUCAGGGGGAGUUUAAGUUAAUACUUUGAUGGGAUGUAUGAUGCAUAUUGUGCUUAGAGGUUAUUGAGCUUGAGUUGUAAAACUCACUGAAAAAGGGGGAGAAUGUAAGCUCAAGAACUUGGAGCUUGACAGGUUGCUGCUGUGCUCGAGUUUUGGUUCGUGUACAUGUGUUACACAUGGAGAGUAAUGUGUGACACAGGCUUCGGAGAAUAAAAAGGAAACGUCAAGAUGCGAUGAUGUGUGAUAUUUCCAUAUGCUUGGUUGACGAAAUAAGCAUUAAAGGAAUGUUAUUAGAUCACAAAUUGGAAUAUUUGGUGAUGCUAAAAUAUAGGAAAUAUUAUAUUAGAUAAUAGGAAAAUAUUAUUUAAUAUAUAUGGUGGCUUUACCUAAGAUUAGGGUUAGAGCUUUCACGUUGUAAUUCUCAGAGAGAAACACAAAGGGUUUUGGGGUUUCAUAGCUGAGUGAAUUGGUAGACUUGAUCAACAGGUGUUGAGUCAAGUAAGUUGGGUUUGUUAGAAAUCGAUCCGUGUCGAGUUGUGUAAUUCGGAUCAAACAAGUCUGUAAGAGAUUGUGUAAAGGAUUUCUAAUAAAAGAUACACGAGUUUUUGGAAUCACUUUGUGCCUUGUGUUUUCGCUGUAUCUCGAUUUUACAAUAUUAACCGACCUCAGUGUGUUGACAAAAACGAAAAUUACAACCCACAUGUAAUGUCUGAAGCUAAAAAGGUUGGAGUGGAACAAAUUUCCAGAAAUUUAUGGUACUUGUAAUACCUUUUGUCCCGUUGAUAUCAGUAUUUUCGGAUAUCUAUACGUUCCAUAAUAUAUUUUGGAUAUUUGAUCCUAUGUGAAAAAUCUUAUAAAUAACAAAAAAAUGUUUUGAUUUAAAAAAAACAAAACAAAAAAUGUUGAAAAGAUUUCCAAAAAAUGUUGAAAACAUCUCAUAUAUAUUAAAAUAGUAAAUUCACAGAUUCAAAUAUAAACUUUUAAAUUUCAUUUAAAAUCUACUAUUACUGAAUUUGUCAUUUCAUAAACUACUCUGAAAUCAAUUUUUUUAUAAACAUUUUAAGGGGCAUUAUUGGAUUAUGUAUUUAUAAAGAGUUAAUAAGAUUUAAAUUUUGUAAUGAUUCUAGUGUUAUUCAAUUAAUGCUUUCCAAAACUAUGUUAAAAUUUUGUGUUAUUAGUUUAUGAACUUGUAACAAGUUGUUAUGAGUUUUAAAAAUCUGGAAUUAUUAGAUUUAUUAUAUUACAAAUCAACAAAAGUUUUGUAUUAUUCAAAAAAAAAUGAAAGUGCGGACUUUGUCAUUGUUUUCAAAUCUGGUGUUAUUUGUUAAUGAUCUGUAAAACUUUCUUCAUAAAAUCUCUUUAUCAAAGUAUUGCACAUCAAUCAUGUAUUCUUAAAAUAUUUUAUAAUUAAAAUUUGAGUUUAUUAUAAAAAACAUCAUUUAUUCUUUCUUCUCCAUUUUUCCUGUGAAUAUUUUUUUUUUCCUAUGAAUCUUUUCUAUUCAUGCUCUUGCAUUAUCCUAUAAAUCUGGUCACACCACAUAUCAGGAAGCUAUGUUACUGAUGUUCGCAGAACAUAGAAAACAAUUUCACGCACUACGCAAGCUAACUUGUGUGUCGACUAAGGUGAUAUUCACGUUUGCUUUGUGAAGAAUUUAUUGCAAAGAACAUAAUUGACAUGUGCUGCUGGGGUUGGGGAUUUUUGAAUUGUGAUAUAUGGAAAGACUUAAAAUGAUUGAUUUGGAUAUUUAUAUUAUCAAAGUUGACUUAUCUUUUUCGUCACACAUCUGUUUAAAACUGCAGAAUUAAGCGUGCUUGUGUUACAGUAGUAAAAAAAAUGAAUGACCUAUCGGGAAGUGAUACGCGAUAGCGUGCGAGUGAAACCAAAGCACAUAGAAAUGUCAUAUGGUGAUUGCAGGGUCAAUAAACAAGAUUUUGUAGCCUUGGAAAAAUUACGGACCGACCGUUGGAACGGGAUGGAACCCACGGACCGAGAGAGCGGGCGUGGGUCUCCUAAUAGUCAUGGACGGUCGGGCAUUAUAAGUGAUAUCAUAGCUGGUUAGCCAUCUCGGUUCUGACCCGAUAAAGAUCUUGAGACCUGUUCUGGGGCGUAGCAAGGACGUUGCGUUCUUUGAGAGGGGGUGAAUUAUAACAUCCCGAGUAAUGAUAUAUGGAAAAGCUUAAGAAGAUUUAUUUGGCUACCUAUGUCACCAAAAGUGAUUUACCUUUUUUGUUACACAUCCGUUUAGAACUGCAGAGUUAAGCGUGCUUGGUUUGGAGUAGUGAAAGGAUGGAGGACCUAUCCGAAAAUAAUUCGCAAUAGUAUCACAAGAAAAAAAUCAUGUGGUGAUUGCAGGGAGUAAACAAGAUUUUGGAGCUUUGGAAAAUUAACGGACCGACUGCUGGAACGGAAUGGAAUCCACAGAUCGAGAGAUCGAACGUGGAUGGUAUAUUAGCCGUGGACGGUCGAAACAUUAUAUUAUUAUCCAUGAAAAGCAGAGAUUAGCUAAGAUAAGGGAUUUUAGUGAUGGAUGAAGAAGAUGCAUCAAUGUCAAAUCCUUCUAAUCAACUCUUUGCCAUUACGAAUGGUUGGAGAAGUUGCUGAACUAUAACGCUAAAUUAGCGGCCAUUUGUAUAUGAUAGUGAAUAGAAAAUAAUGGCUAAUAACAAACACAACAACAUAUAUAUUAUACAGUAUUUAAAGAAUUAUCUAAAACUCUAGUUGAUAAUCAACAAAACUCUUCAGCAAAAUUUUAAAAAUCUAAAAUGUCAGCAAAAUUCUUUUCAAGUUUAUUAAAUUAUUUAUAUUUAAAAAUCAGCAAAAAAAAUUUAAAUCACAAACCAAUAACAGCCCUUAAGUAGUGAAUUUUUAAAGUGGUUAGGUGAUUUUAGAGUGUUUGAAUAUAGUUUUUCGUUAAAAAAAUAAAAAUUCAAAUCUUAUAGUUUAAAAAAAUCAUAUUAAACUUUCUAAUUUAUAUAAAAUCAUUUUAAAACUCAUUAAAAAUCAAAUCACUACAAAAACAAUUCAUCAAAUACACCACAGAGAAAAUUUCUUCAUUAACUAAAAAUUACCUAAAGAAAAAACUUUUUUUUUUCAGAAACAAUCAUAAAAAUAAAUUUCAUUUCUUGUAAUGCUUCUUUCUGUUCUUGUGGUGUGCCUAUGAUGAUCUCUCCUUAGACUUGUGGGCACACCUAUUAAACUGGUAGAACGUUACUGAUCCUACAAUCACUACGUAAUAUUUUUUGAAUUAUUUUUGGGUUCGCCCUAGGGGGUGAACCUCAACAAAUAGAAUUUCAUUAUUUCAAAUUCGAUAUUUUCUAAAAAAAAAAACAAAAUAUUGUCAAGUUAUAUUAUAUUUUUAAAAUAAAAAUGUAAAAAAUAAAAAAAAUAGUAGAUACAAAAAAAAUAUUUGUUUUUAAAAUAUUGUUAACGUCGUCGUCAGCAAAACACUAAACCCUAAAUCCUAAUCCCUAAACUCUAAAUCUGAAACCCUAAACCCUUGGAUAAAUCAUAAAUUCUAAAUCAAAAACACUAAAAUCCUAAAUCCUUGAGUGUUUUAGUGUUUAGUGUUUUUGAUUUAGAGUUUAUGAUUUAUCCAAGGGUUUAGGGUUUAUCCAAAGGUUUAGGGUUUCAGAUUUAGGGUUUAGGGAUUAGGUUUUAGGGUUUAGUUUUUUCCUGACGACGUUAAAACUAUUUUUUUUGUAAUUACUACUUUUUUGAUUUUUGAUUUUUUUAUUUUAAAACAUAAUAUAACUUGACAAUAUUUUGUUUCCUUUUAUAAAAGAUAUCAAAUUUGUAAUAACAUAAUCCUAUUGGUUGGUUCUAGGUUCACCCUAGGGGAUGAACCUAAGAAUAAGUCAUAUUUUUUCCGUUCUUUGGGUUGUCGUUUCUCUGAUUUUCUUAGGGUAAUAAGAAAAUAAAAUAUUUCUAUAUAUGACCAUUGCAUCGCUGUGCAGCCAUUCUAAGUUCUCCACUUCUUGCUCCAUUAAUUCUAUGAUUAUGUCAUCUUCUAUCAUUUCCCUAGCUCAUGUGGACACAGAUUUCACUCGCAUGUCUGAUUGGUCGUACUGAAUUAUCACAUAAAGGAUUUCCUCCCAUUAUCAGAUUGACUUUUUUUCUUGAGGAUUUCCUCCCAUUAUCAUAUUGCAUCUGAGAUCAUGGCAUCUCAAUCUCCCUCUAAGGUGCGCUUGUCAUCAUUAUUUUUUGGAGAGAUUUUUUAAGUUGUGCUUAACCUUGUUCGUGAAACUUGGAAUAAAUGAAGUUUUGAGAAGUCGUUACAUUCUUCGGUGGUAUGUCCCUUCGGUUGUGAUAAUCACAUAAUUUGUUGGAGUUUUCUUUUC
rnacentral:lncRNA from 1 species